rnacentral:tRNA from 1 species
AGCCCCGUCGUCUAGUGGCCAAGGAUAUCAGGCUCUGGUCCUGAGGACCGCGGUUCAAAUCCGCGCGGGGCUA